CAAACAAAAACUGAAGGAAUUUGUCACCACUAAACCAGCCCUACAAAAGAUCCUAAGGGGGAUCCUGUGAGACAAAGUACCAGAGACAUCACUACAAGCAUAAAACAUACAGACAUCACAAAGACUCUAAACCCGUAUCUUUCUAUAAUAACACUGAAUGUAAAUGGAUUAAAUGCGCCAACCAAAAGACAUAGGGUAUCAGAAUGGAUAAAAAAACAAGACCCAUCUAUUUGCUGUCUACAAGAGACUCAUUUUAGACCUGACGACACCUUUAGAUUGAGAGUGAGGGGAUGGAGACCUAUUUAUCAUGCUACUGGAAGCCAAAAGAAAGCUGGAGUAGCCAUACUUCUAUCAGACAAACUAGACUUUAAAUUAAAGGCUGUAACAAGAGAUGAAGAAGGGCAUUAUAUAAUAAUUACAGGGUCUAUCCAUCAGGAAGAGCUAACAAUUAUAAUGUCUAUGUGCCGAAUACCGGAGCCCCCAAAUAUAUAAAACAAUUACUCAUAAACAUAAGCAACCUUAUUGAUAAGAAUGUGGUAAUUGCAGGGGACUUUAACACCCCACUUACAGAAAUGGAUAGAUCAUCUAGACACACGGUCAAUAAAGAAACAAGGGCCCUGAAUGAUACAUUGGAUCAGAUGGACUUGACAGAUAAUAUUUAGAACUCUGCAUCCCAAAGCAACAGAAUAGACUUUCUUCUCGAGUGCACAUGGAACAUUCUCCGUGAUAGAUCAUAUACUGGGUCACAAAACAGCCCUUCAUAAUUAUACAAGAAUUGAAAUUAUACCAUGCAUACUUUCAGACCACAAUGCUAUGAAGCUUGAAAUCAACCACAGGAAAAAGUCUGGAAAACCUCCAAAAGCAUGGAGGUUAAAGAACACCCUACUAACGAAUGACUCAGUGGUAAGAGUCUCCAUGACGUCUUCUAUUCUUUUCUCAAGCCCAAGUGGCUGCACCAGCUUGCAUUCCUGCCAACAAUGCAGAAGAGAUCUUCUUUCUCCUCAUCCUCGCCAACAUCUGUUGUUGCCUGAAUUGUUAAUGUGAGCCAGUCUGACAGUAUCGAGUAACCCCCGUUGGGUAUGAGAAGAGUCUCCGGAGGGCGUGAAGGACAUUGCCAUCCCCAAAUCCAGAGUCAUUUCCAAUGGCAGCCAAAAGAAAGAACCAACAACCUGGACGUUCCGAGCAGGAAGAAAGCCAAGCUCAGUUCCACAAAACAAGUGAGAAGACAAGUGAGAAAACAAGUGAGAAGGCAAUAUCUAUCUCGGGGAGAGAAAAGGUUAUAAAACUAAGAGUAGAAGUCCUAAAAAUGGAGAAUACAGAAGAGAAGGAACUUCCUGGCUCUCGGAGUUACUAUUUUGAAGAGAGUUGCCUAGGAGAGCCACAGAACCAGAUAUAUUCAUAUUAUCAUUUGCAGGGGUGAGGAAUACCAAGCAGUUCUGCUAACCAUGGAGAUGUAGGAGUCACUUUUUAUCAAAGUCUAAGUUAAUUACACUUCUCAAUGCAGAAAGUACUGCCUAAAAAUGAAAAUGAAGUACUGUAAACAAGAAAAUGUGUGGUUUGGUUUAGAGAUUAGGUAAUAGACAUGACAAAACAGAUAAAACUGACUACAAAUAUGGACAUCCAUAAUAAGCAGAGAAACAUUUGCUAAAACUGUUGCCUUUAUGAUCAUUUGCAAAGCAUAUCAUAUGUCCUAAACAGACUGUAGAUCUUAAGGAAUUGAUUUGAGAAGAGAGCAUUCAUUGAAUCUAUUAUUGACAUUCUAUUAAAAACUAUUCAUUUUCAAAAUAAUCGUUCACCUUUUUUUUCUGGCAUAAAUCAAAAUAAAUAAAAACUCCCCAAAAUGGGCAAUUAUCAGAGUGUUAAAAAGUGACAUUUUCUAGGCCAAGAAUCAGCCCACCAAACUGUUUUUUGUAAACACAGCUUUAUUGGAAGACAGCCAUACUAAUUCAUUAUGUAUUGUCUAUGGCUUCUUUGUGCUACAAGGCACCAUUGACUAAUUGUGAGAAGACCAUAUAGCCCAUGAACCCUAAAAUAUUUACAAUAUAGCCUUCACAGAACAGAUGUGGCAAUCACUUUUCUAGACCACCCAAGAGAAGAGAUGAAAUUAAAUACAGUUUUAGCACAAAGGAAUAGUGCAAUUUCUUUAUUGAACAAAGUGAUUAAGGAAAAGAACAAAUGAAGAUGAUGGACUUUUCACAGGUGUUUCAGUAGCCUCAAGAGAGCCAACAUAAAAGGAGAUAUAUAAGAAAAUAAAUUAGAUGGUCAGAUAUGUCUAUAGUUACUUUGGAUAUGGUUAUUGAUAUAUGAAACUAAUUGGGAGAAAUGUAUAAGAAACUUACUAUAUUUGGAGGAAAAUGUCAAAAAUAACAUGAAACAAAGGACCUCUGGAAUGGCUGAAUGAAUGGCUUCAUAAAUCCUUUCCCCCAGCGCAGUAAUAAGCCUGGAAAAGUUCUCAAAUUGGAACUUUUGCAUUCUGGAAAUUCGCAAAGGGAAUCGAAAAAGGCACAUAGCAAAUUGAGAAACACUCAUUUAAGGAAAAGUAUUUAAAAUGAUUAAUAAAAGAAUGUCCAUAAAAGGAUAU